rfam:Candidatus Sungbacteria bacterium RIFCSPHIGHO2_02_FTLL_49_12 rifcsphigho2_02_scaffold_31404, whole genome shotgun sequence.
GUCCCCGUGGUUGAAUGGAUACAAUACUCCCCUCCGAAGGGAGUGGUACAGGUUCGAUUCCUGUCGGGGACA